rnacentral:siRNA from 1 species
UCUGCGUUUCAUGACUGACAUCAG